UUGCAGCUUCUGCUCUGUGAAUUCUAUAAAGGUAAUUAACGGGAAGAUCAAAUAUGAUGGUGCAUGGGGAAGCCAUAUGUAAUCUGGAAGACAAUUUAGGCACAACUACUCAGUCUGGAGUCGAGGGAGAGAGGACUUGGGAAGCCGGUCUGACCCCAACGGAUACCUCUACUCGACUGACCGGUCAACAGACGGAGUGCCUUUUACUUAACACUCAGCAUCAGGGAUGCUGUGGUUUCCUUUGCACAUGUCCCAGGGGCCCAGGACGUGUAUUACACGGACUGCAAAUACACGGACUGCCAUUGUCCCAUUUUCCCAGAGCGGGCUUGAGGUCAGGUAUGUGUGAUUCUUUGGAGUAAAUGUGUCAUAAACUAAAACAUAAUAAUUAUGUGCACAUGUAUACAGUUCAGCCCCAAGAGAUGCGAUGCAGCUGAACUUACGCUUUCAAGGGCAGUUGGAGCAAAGUGACCUCAAACUAGGAAUUAAGAUGCACAGAAGGUCUUUGACUGCAUUUACGUAGUAUGCCUCAAACUGCUCUAUUCAGUCACAUCUAUGGCUCUGAUUCAAAUUGCAAAUUAUCUCAAUAAAUACCUGGCUACACUGGGGAAGCA
rnacentral:lncRNA from 1 species